rnacentral:rRNA from 1 species
UGCCAGCCGCCGCGGUAAUACGGAGGGAUCAAACGUUAAUCGGAAUUACUGGGCGUAAAGCGCACGCAGGUGGUUUGUUAAGUGGGAUGUGAAAGCCCCGGGCUUAACCUGGGAACUGCAUUCCAAACUGACGAACUAGAGUACGAUAGAGGGGGGUAGAAUUCAGAGUGUAGCGGUGAAAUGCGUAGAUAUUCUGAGGAAUACCGGUGGCGAAGGCGGCCCCCUGGAUUGAUACUGACACUCAGGUGCGAAAGCGUGGGGAGCAAACAGGAUUAGAUA